rnacentral:lncRNA from 1 species
CAACAAAGCAAAAAUGACUGAAACAACCAAGAACACAGUGUCAUAGGCAAAGAACGCAUGCUGGCUCUAGUGAGCGUCUUCCUCCUCGCAGUGCUUGGUGUACUUGGCGGCGUCCAGCAGGCCGUCCGCCUCCCCAGGGCUGCUCGGCUUCACCUUAAUCAUCCACCCGUCCUCGUACGGGCUCGAGUUGAUCUGCAUAUAUAUAAAGGAGCACAUGAUCGCAAUAUCGAUCACAAAGCAUUAUCAUCAGUAACUCAGUAAGUAUGCAGAGAGAGUUUGUCAACAGGAAAUUGAUGAGGAGGUGUGAUCAAUGAUCAUGGCCAGUGCGUGUGGCAACGGCGUACCAGGCCGGGCGUCUCCGAGAGCUUGGAGUUGACCUCGACGACCUCGCCGGAGAUUGGGGAGUUGACGUCGCUGGUGGCCUUCAC